CUUCGGACUCCACUUUAUGAGAUUCAGACUCCACUUUAUGGGAUUUUACUGUAUAUAUUGUUGUUGGUUAACCAGAAACGUCAUCACAUUUGGAUAGUCAACUUAUACCCACGAUGUUACCACAUUAGCAUUUUCAACUUUCAUGUCGAAGCCUGGCGGAGCUAGUCCUUGUAUAGUUCACCUGUUGUAAGAACCUUUGGAUAGUGUAUUCAGUGCAAUAAGUACCUCCCAGAUUUCGGUAUCAGAGUGCUGUGUUAGUGGAUCAAGGUUUCCUCUAACUGUUCCCUCGAACAUUGUUGGAUCCUGAGGAAUAAUACUAAGCCUUGACCUCAAAUCGUGAAGACCUAUCUUGCAGAUGUCUAUAUCAUCGAUGAUAAUGCUUCCUUCUCUGGGUUCUAUGAUCCGGAAAAGGGCCUGAAUGAGGGUUGAUUUACCACUUCCUGUUCUGCCCACAACACCGACUUUCUUACUUCCUGACAAUGUGCAUGUGACGUUUUUCAGAACAGAAGGGAGGUGUUCAGCAUAACGUAUCUGCAGAUAGAGGUAUGGUGAUAAUAUCAGUGAGUGGAAAUUUUAAGCAAUCAAGCUAAAACAUUAUGUAAACAAGUAGUAUACAAUAUUCCUGCGAGUUUUUGGGUAAAAACAGCUUUAUUCCUUGCAUCAUGAUCAUUAAAGGAAUAUGCAGACAUAUUAGAACCACAAAAAUUGUACAGGAUUUUCUGAAAGCUUUUCAGAGUUUUCAACUGUCUAGCAUCUUUAACAUCUGUCACUAUUGGAUGAUAUCCUACUGCGUUAUUGCAAACCUCAUAAUCUAGUCUGGUUUUAUCUAAGCUAUGAGCACUGUCUUUACCUGCAAAUUUUCAAAGGAAAUUGUUCCAGUUUCUGGCCAAGUGCUUGAUGGUCUGCUAUUUUCUAUCACAAGAGGUGCUUCACUGGCAAGGUUCGAGUACUGGAGAAUCCUUUCAACAGAUAUCAUUUUGUUUUCAGCAUUGCAAAUAUUCCAUAUUACUGAAGCUUGUAAAAUGUUCAAAUUGAUCCCAUAUGUUACUGCUAAUCCUGCAAUGCCUGUAAGAAUAUAAAGCAACAUCAAUUUCCUCCUUUGAUUUCUUUUAUGAAAUUAAAGUUCUUAAAACCUGUUCCACCACCACCACAUCAGCAAAAAGAAAGUGACUAAAGAAACUUUGGUUAGAUAUCAUGAUUUUGUCAUCUUUAAUUCGUACCUUUGCUCUACAUAACAACAUAAAGACAAGUAAUUUCUGAUGCUUACUUGGAUUUAUAAUUCCUUCGGGGAGUGUGACUAGCAGAACAAGGGAGAAGGCAAAAACAAAAUUAGAUAGCUGAUUCAGUCUAAACGAGAGCCAUUCCAUUGCUGAUACAUUGUGAAACCAUGGCCUUGAAUGACCAUCUAUGAGACAAAGGUUUGCUUGACCAAAGCGAUCUUUUUGGUUGAAAGCACGAAUUGUUGCUGCUCCUGCCAGUGAUUCUGCAAAGUGAUGGAGGAUCGGAGCUCGUUGAACUCCAGAUAAACGAGCAAGCUCCCUUGCAGUUGGAUAAGAAAAACAACCAACUAUUGCUGCUACGUGUUAUAAGUACUUAGCUAAAUCCACACAUCUGAUUCAGAUUAAGGGAAGUAAAUUGCAGCUGAUAUGCUGUACUCAUGUUCAAAGCCAAUCAGCUAACUUUGAGUUACUUACGCGAUUUAAGAUUCUUCCAGUAGGAGUAGAGUCGAAGAAUGACAUAGGAGCACGAAGGAUGCUGUGCAGCAUGUUGCUAAAGAGCUUUUCUGCUGUUCGAAGGCCUGUUAUAGCCACAAAUGAUGACCGGACUAGCACGCAAAGAGAACUUCCAACAGAGAGAAGCACAUAAACAGAAAGUAUGAAGUUCAUCUUCUCAGCUAUUGGUGCUGCAUCACCUGUGGGACAUGACCAUGCCAUCCAGUAGUUGCUGGCUAUCUGAAGCACUUGAAAUGAUGAUUGCGCUAGAAGAAUUAUUGGAACAAAGGCACCACCUUUCACAAUGGUCAAGUAAGAAAGAGAUUGUGUUCUGAAUCCUGCUUAGUGUGUGGAAAUUCUGCAUCUACGUUACUAUCUGUUUCAAGCUCAACAUCAGAAACUGCAUGUUCAGAUACUCGACUUGAGCUUUCAACUGUUAAAAUUGAUUCUAAAGCCUGGUUGUGUGCUCCAACUAGAAGUUCGAAUCCAAUUUGCUGUUUCAAUAGUUCUUCAAAAGUACCAGCUUGGGCAAUUCUUCCAUUUUGCAUAACCUGUUGAUAGUUAGGAGUUAGACUCGAAUAAAUUUUGUGCAACUUAGAGUUUUGAAUGUUGGUCAAAUUUAUGGAAAUUUAAUGAGGCAUGAAGUAUUUUCUUUAAAAAUCUCCCUAUUAAUGUUUAAAAUGAUCCUAUCCUGAAUAGGAAACCUCCAAAUAUUUGGGAAGUUUUAACAAAUUCUAGCUUGUUUUGAACUGUGCAACAUGUAUACGCUUGAGCAAGGAGUAGACCUUUCUAUUUUGG